rnacentral:lncRNA from 1 species
GAGGUCACUAAGAGCUUCCAUAUUAAAAAUAUUGGUAGCUGUAAUGUGUGGUUCUAUUAUCUAUUUCAAGGGAAUGUGUGCAUAUCGUGUGAGGUCAGUGCUGUACCUCAUUUUGCAUAUGGACGUGCAUUCUUCGCAGCACCGUUUGUUCAGAAUAUUGUCUUUUCCUAUUAAAUUAUCUUGUCACCUUUGUCAAAGAUGAAUUGAACGUAUUUCUUAGGGCCAAUUUCUGGACUUCCAUCAGCCCCGUUGAUCCCCGUGUCUGUCUACACCAACACCUCCCUCUUGGUUACGGUAUUUGUUGUAGGCAGAAAAACACCACUGCCCACCCCCUCCAAAGCCCAAGUCCUGAUCGGCCGGAAACGGUGACUGUGCUAUCUUCCAUGGAAGACGGGAUGUUGCAAAUGCAGUGAAGAACCCUGAGUUGGGGAGAUUAUUGUUUCUGACCCAGGUGGGCGUUUUCUAAUCAAACACAUCUUUAAAUUCAGAGAACCUUCCCCAGCUGUGUCAGAGGGAGGCAAGAUCAUGGAAGAACAGUGACAGGGAAGUAACUUCUGAUUUUACAGAUGAAGGAAGGGGCCGUGAGCCAGGAAAUGUAGGAAGGCUUUGGAAGCUGGAAAGAGCAGGAGAACAGACUCUGCCCCGGCGUCUCCAGAAAGGAAUGAACCCUGCCAGCUUCAGCUCAGUCGGAUUUCAAAAAUCACAAAAUUGUAAGAAUAAGUGCAUCGUUUCAAGCCAGUAGGUUUGGGUAAUUUGUUAUGGACAAGAUAGAAAACUACUACAGUGUUUUAAAAUUCUUCUAAGCAGUGUUUUUGUUUUCAGUGUAUAGAUCUUACACAUAGUUUGUUAAAUUAAUACUUAAGUCUUAAAAGUCAGAGGAAGCAGUGGUGAGAGGGCAUCCUUGUCUUGUGCCGGUUUUCAAAGGGAAGGCUUCCAAGUUUUGCACACUCAGUAUGCUUUUGGCUGUGGGUUUGUCGUAAAUAGCUCUUACUAUUUUGAGAUAUGUUCCAUCGAUACCUAG